rnacentral:misc_RNA from 1 species
UCUCCGUAGGUGAACCUGCGGAGGGAUCAUUACAGAGUUCAUGCCCUCCGGGUAGAUCUCCCACCCAUUGCUAUCACUACUCUCGUUGCUUUGGCGGGCCGCUGGGCCCUGCCCAGCCGCCGGCCCCGGCUGGCGCGCGCCCGCCAGAGACCUCACAGACUCUGAAUGUUAGUGUCGUCCGAGUAACUAUAUAAUCGUUAAAACUUUCAACAACGGAUCUCUUGGUUCUG